AACGAACGCUGGCGGCAUGCCUAACACAUGCAAGUCGAACGAGACCUUCGUGACUAGUUGCGCUCGGGUGCGUAACGCGUGGGAACCUGCCCUUAGGUACGGGAUACUUCCUUGACAGGGGUGAUAAUACCGGAUAAUGUACUCGGACAAAAGAUUUAUCGCCUUUGGAUGGGCGCGCGUUGGUUUAGCUUGUUGGGAGGGGAAAAGCCUAUCAAGGCGUCGCUCGUUAGCUGGUCUGAGAGGAUGAUAAGCCACACUUGGGCUAAGACACGGUCCGGACUCCUAGGGGAGGGAGCAGAGGGGGAUACUGGACUAUGGGCGAAAGGCUGAUCCAGCUAGGCCGGGUAAGUGAUGAAGUCGGUAGGGAAGUAAAGCUCUUUUACCCGGGAUGAUAAUGACAGUACCGGGAGAAUAAGCACCGGCUAACUCCGUG
rnacentral:rRNA from 1 species